rnacentral:lncRNA from 1 species
GUAAAUCCAAAACUGAAAUUAAUGUGGAGUUUUUACCAAUACAUUGAUAUCAUAAUCUAGUCAACAUUUUAUGACAACAUUGAAGUUAUUUCCUGCAUCACAACUGACUUCAGUCACGUUCAUUGCAUACAAAACAAAAGUUUUCCAAUCAACGGGGUUGGACUAGUAGUACUUGAAGGAUAACUCUAAUGCGGUGAAUCCGUCUGUUGGUCACCAAGGGAUUUACAAAUGUAAACAUCGUUGGGACGUACAAAUUAGUUGGUUGGCUUCCGUUGCCAGACACUGUAGUUAAUUCAAAAAAAAAUUCGUUUUAGUUAAAUGUGUUUCGAAAAAGAUCAAUUCAAUAAAAAAAAUCUAACUUAUCAAAAAACUUACAACAACCAUUACAAAGAAGAUUAAAGCAAAACGAAUGUAUCUCAAAUUACAAAAAUUGAAAAAAAAAAGAAACAAAAAUGUCUUCAAAAACUGUCGAGAAAACAUAAUAAUAUCAAACACAUAAUAAGAGAAAAAUAGAAGAGAAAUUCUAUCGCAGUGCUAUGCAAACCACCACUGCGGGACGGCUAGGGUUUCAAUACCACGGAUCAUAGAAUAUGAGAUAAGUUAAUGGAAAAUUAUUAAUUACUAAAUCCCUUAUAUAUUAAAAGAGAAACAUUGUAAUAAAUGCAUUCACAUUAUAAUAGACACGUGGCAGCUUCACAAUGAUUUGAUAAUAAAUAUGCUAACGCGUUCACACUAUAAUCAUAAAUGUGUUCACACUACGUACUUUGUGAUUUUUUUUGAUAUAAAACUCACAUACAUAGUUUCAAUAAAACUCUAGUUUUUUCGGUUCGAAUAAAAAUAGAUAACGAAUCAAAAGCUAAACUAUAUAUAUAUUAUUUUUAUUGUUUACAGAUAAAAUUGAGCAAAAUAUUCAUAAAUUUUGAUUCGAUUUGUUAUCCGUUUUGAUUUGAACCAAAAAAUCUUGAUAUUUGAAACUCUACGAAACAAAUCAAAUACUAAAAUACAAUAUCC